rnacentral:rRNA from 1 species
AAUCCAUAGGUUAAUGAGGCGAACCGGGGGAACUGAAACAUCUAAGUACCCCGAGGAAAAGAAAUCAACCGAGAUUCCCCCAGUAGCGGCGAGCGAACGGGGAGGAGCCCAGAGCCUGAAUCAGCAUGUGUGUUAGUGGAAGCGUCUGGAAAGGCGCGCGAUACAGGGUGACAGCCCCGUACACAAAAGCGCAUGUGCUGUGAGCUCGAUGAGUAGGGCGGGACACGUGGUAUCCUGUCUGAAUAUGGGGGGACCAUCCUCCAAGGCUAAAUACUCCUGACUGACCGAUAGUGAACCAGUACCGUGAGGGAAAGGCGAAAAGAACCCCGGCGAGGGGAGUGAAAAAGAACCUGAAACCGUGUACGUACAAGCAGUGGGAGCACCCUUCGGGGUGUGACUGCGUACCUUUUGUAUAAUGGGUCAGCGACUUAUAUUCUGUAGCAAGGUUAACCGAAUAGGGGAGCCGGAGGGAAACCGAGUCUUAAUUGGGCGUUAAGUUGCAGGGUAUAGACCCGAAACCCGGUGAUCUAGCCAUGGGCAGGUUGAAGGUUGGGUAACACUAACUGGAGGACCGAACCGACUAAUGUUGAAAAAUUAGCGGAUGACCUGUGGCUGGGGGUGAAAGGCCAAUCAAACCGGGAGAUAGCUGGUUCUCCCCGAAAGCUAUUUAGGUAGCGCCUCGUGAAUUCAUCUCCGGGGGUAGAGCACUGUUUCGGCUAGGGGGCCAUCCCGGCUUACCAACCCGAUGCAAACUGCGAAUACCGGAGAAUGUUAUCACGGGAGACACACGGCGGGUGCUAACGUCCGUCGUGAAGAGGGAAACAACCCAGACCGCCAGCUAAGGUCCCAAAGUCAUGGUUAAGUGGGAAACGAUGUGGGAAGGCCCAGACAGCCAGGAUGUUGGCUUAGAAGCAGCCAUCAUUUAAAGAAAGCGUAAUAGCUCACUGGUCGAGUCGGCCUGCGCGGAAGAUGUAACGGGGCUAAACCAUG